rnacentral:tRNA from 1 species
GGCUUCGUGGCGUUCCCGGUGGAGCGCCCCGCCUGCAAAGCGGGUGACCCUUCCGGUUCGACUCCGGGCGAGGCCU